GAUGAACGCUGGCGGCGUGCCUAAUACAUGCAAGUCGAGCGAACAGACGAGGAGCUUGCUCCUCUGACGUUAGCGGCGGACGGGUGAGUAACACGUGGAUAACCUACCUAUAAGACUGGGGUAACUUCGGGAAACCGGAGCUAAUACCGGAUAACAUGUUGAACCGCAUGGUUCAAUAGUGAAAGACGGUCUUGCUGUCACUUAUAGAUGGAUCCGCGCCGCAUUAGCUAGUUGGUAAGGUAACGGCUUACCAAGGCAACGAUGCGUAGCCGACCUGAGAGGGUGAUCGGCCACACUGGAACUGAGACACGGUCCAGACUCCUACGGGAGGCAGCAGUAGGGAAUCUUCCGCAAUGGGCGAAAGCCUGACGGAGCAACGCCGCGUGAGUGAAGAAGGUCUUCGGAUCGUAAAACUCUGUUAUUAGGGAAGAACAAAUGUGUAAGUAACUAUGCACGUCUUGACGGUACCUAAUCAGAAAGCCACGGCUAACUACGUG
rnacentral:rRNA from 1 species